rnacentral:tRNA from 1 species
CAUUAGAUGUCUGAAAAUUAAGAAUUGAUUUUUUAAAUCAAAAUAUAGUAUGUUAAAUAUACUUCUAAUGA